GCAGCAGGACGGUCUGCCGCUCGCCUUCGGGCGGGAGGAAAGUCCGGGCAACACAGGGCACCAUGCCGGCUAAUAUACCGGUAGGCAGCGAUGUUUAGGUAACGUAACAGAGAAUAACCGCCUUCUCUUUUCCGGGAAACCGGAAGAAAGGUAAGGGUGAAAAGGCGAGGUAAGAGCUCACCGCACACGUAGCAAUACGGAGUGGCCGUACGUCCCAUGGGUUGUAAGAUCAUGUAUACUGGCGAUAAGGGCUGCCCGCCCGAUGUCAGGGGGUAGAUUGCUAAAGCCCGUCGGUAACGGCGGGACGAGAUUAAUGGCAGACGCCGUUCUUCCGAGCGGUACAGAACCCGGCUCACAGGCCUGCUGCUUUC
rnacentral:RNase_P_RNA from 1 species